rnacentral:rRNA from 1 species
UACGGGGGGAGCAAGCGUUGUUCGGAUUUACUGGGCGUAAAGGGCGCGUAGGCGGCCACGACAAGUCAGUUGUGAAAUCUCUGGGCUUAACUCAGAACGGUCAACUGAUACUGUCGGGCUAGAGUGCAGAAGGGGCAACUGGAAUUCUCGGUGUAGCGGUGAAAUGCGUAGAUAUCGGGAAGAACACCCGUGGCGAAGGCGGCUCUCUGGGACGGUACUGACGCUGAGACGCGAAAGCGUGGGGAGCGAACAGG